rnacentral:misc_RNA from 1 species
CGAGGAACCACGCGCAUCCAAACGCGCAGUGAUGUUGUCUGCGCUGGUGUUCGUGCUUGGCUUCUCCACCGUUUUCGUGGCGCUGGGCGCCAGCGCCAGCCUGAUUGGAGGCCUGAUCCGGGCCUGGUCCACGCAACUGUCGAUUGUUGCCGGCAUCGCCAUCAUUCUGAUGGGGCUGCACUUCCUUGGCCUGACACGCAUCGGCUUCC